CUGUACGGUGCUAACCCCGGGCUUGUCUGAUUACUACCUUGAAGAAGGAAGCCCCAAUGCCUGUGCUAGAUCCACCAUGCCAUUCAGUGUUGCAGGCUAUGACAAAUCUUGUGAUUGGUCUGUGUCAAAGCAAUGGAUACAGAU
rnacentral:snoRNA from 1 species